CUUAAAAGAGAAAUCUGACCAUUUUGAUUUUUUUUCUUCAUUUGGUAUUUUUUUUCUACUAGACUGAUUUUUAAUUUGAAACAACAGCGGCUAAGUGAUGUAAAUUUGUAUAUAUAUUUCCUUUUCAUUACUUGACUAAUGCAUUUGAGCUUGAAUGACAGAGGGUGGCUUUGCAAGUGAUUAUAUUGAUCUAGGUGGACUCCAAGUGCACCAAAUAUCAACCUUCAAUAAAGUUUGGACCAUAUAUGGAGGAGGACCAGAUAAUCUUGGUGCAACAUUUUAUGAGCCAUCCCAAAUUCCAGAUGGAUUUUUCAUGCUUGGUUCCUAUAGCCAACCUAACAAUCAACCCUUUUUUGGUUGGAUUCUUGUUGCAAAAGACACCUCCACUGAUCAAUCAUCAAGCAAUGAAACUCUCAAGAAACCAACUGAUUACACUUUAAUCUGGAGCAGUGAGUCCUUGAAGACCAGCCAAGAUGGCCAUGGCUACAUUUGGUUGCCAGUAGCACCUGAUGGCUACAGAGCCGUUGGCUAUGUUGUGACCGCGACACCGGACAAGCCUUCUCUUGAUAAAGUCCGAUGUGUUAUCUCUGAACUCACUGAUGAAUGUGAAGCUGAAAACUGGAUUUGGGGCGAAGGCAAAACAAGCAGUGAUAGUGAUUUCAAUGUGUACAGUUCAAGGCCUAGUGUUAGAGGGAUACAAGCGCAAGGCGUCGGUGUAAAUACAUUCAUAGUCGAGAAUGAAUCAGAUGAUAAUUCUUCUUCAACAACCAUAGCUUGUUUGAAGAAUAACAACUUCAGCAAUUUUUCAUCCAUGCCUAAUAUGCAACAGGUUGAAGCAUUAUUUCAGGCAUAUUCUCCUUGGAUAUUCUUACACCCCAAGGAAAAUUACUUUCCCUCUUCAGUCAAUUGGUAUUUUGAGAAUGGUGCAUUAUUGUAUACCAAGGGAGAUGAGUCAAAUCCUGUUGCCAUCCAAUAUAAUGGUGCCAAUCUUCCCCAGGGUGAAUCCAAUGAUGGAGCAUACUGGCUGGACCUACCUGUUGACGAAAAUGCCAAAGAAAAAGUCAAGAAAGGAGAUCUACAAAGUGCUGAGGCUUAUAUCCAGAUCAAACCUAUGUUAGGUGCAACAUUUACAGACAUUGCAAUUUGGAUUUUUUACCCGUUUAAUGGUCCUGGAACAGCUAAACUCGGAUUAAUCGACAUCCCAUUAGGCCGAACUGGCGAACAUAUUGGAGAUUGGGAGCAUUUGACCCUAAGAAUCAGCAAUUUUAAUGGGAUUUUGUACAAAGUUUAUUUUUCAGAACAUAGCAAAGGAAUAUGGGUAGAUGCACCACUACUUGAGUUCCAUGAUGGUACUAAUAAACCAGUCGCAUAUUCGGCAUUGAGUGGCCAUCCAAACUAUCCAAAACCAGGGCUUGUUUUGCAAGGGGCAGGUGAUGUUGGAAUAAGAAAUGAUGCAGCAAAGAGUGACAAGUUUUUGGACACGGGAGCAAAGUAUUCAAUAGUUUCAGCUGAGAAUCUUGGAUUGGGAAUUGUUGAGCCACCGUGGCUGAAUUAUUUGAGAAAAUGGGGUCCUGAUAUUGUGUAUGAAACUGGGGUAGAAGUUCAGAAAGUGGAAGGAUCGUUGCCUGAAAAUCUGAAAUCUGCAUUUGCAAGAUUGGUGAAUAUUUUGCCUAAAGAAGUUUAUGGGGAGGAAGGUCCUACCGGUCCAAAGGUGAAAGGUAGUUGGAGUGGGGACGAAAGAUCAUAAAAUUACAUGGUAGAGGCUUAGAGCCCACAUUUCAAAAUAUCACAAUGCAUUCAAGUCAGAUACCUUUUUUUUCCUGGUCAUUUUAUGGGUGUUAGUUACAUCUUGUCUCAUAUAGCAUUGAUUCUUCAUUGGACACAUCUAUUCUUUUUCUGUUUGGCUUGUAAUUCUCUGGAAAAUAAAUGAUAAGAAACACCUUCAUGUACUUUUCUUUUCAAAGAUGAGACUAAAUUAAGCAUAAUGUUUUCCACAUGAAACACCUUCAUUAGUAAUUUAAAAAGGGAUAAUUUCACAAACCUCCCCUGAGGUUUCUGACACUUGUACUGAGACCCCUCCAGGUUUUAAAAAUUUCACCUAGCUCCCUUGCUUUUCAAAUUUGGUAACAAUUCAAUCCAAUUAGGAUUAAAAUAUUACUAUCAUGAUAGAGAUGACAUUUAUAUUCCAUGAAUACCCUCUUCCUCCCUAUAUUAGUACAAGAUUGUUUGUUAAUAAAAACCUACUAGUUUUCCUUUCGUAAUAAUAUUAGUGUAACACUUUUUGAAUUUCACUUAUAAACAUUUAUGUAUUUAAUAUAAAUUAAAUAAUUCAAAGUAAAAUACUCAUAAAUAGCUAGUACUUUAUUCAUAUAACGGAAGAAACUCGUAAAGAACUGGUAUGUUAUGGACGAUUUUUUUUUCUACUUUCAAAUACUUCAUUUAUAUUAAAUACAAAACAUACUAGUUUUCCUUUCGUAAAAAUAUUUGUGUAACGGAUUUUGAAUUUUAUUUGCAAAUAUUUAUGUAUUUAACAUAAAUUAAAUGAUUCAGAAUAAAAUGCCCAUAAAAAUCUGGUACUUGGUUCAUCUAAUAUUUAAAAUUAACUGAGAUGAAGCUGAAAACAGCCUCGCUACUAGAAUUCAAAGAAUAAAUCAUGCAAGGCAAUGGUAAUCAUCUUCAUUGUCGUUUUGCUUUGUUGAAUUACACAGUAAUAUGAUAUUUAUUAAUCUUGGGUAAAUUACAUAUAACCCCUGGGGUUUUGUCUAUUGCCAUAUGACCCCUAAUGUUUCAAUCCAUUUCACCCUCCUAUGAUUUUAUGUAAAAUGAAAAUUUGACGAAAAAUAACCUAAGUAACAUUGUUAAUUGAAAUACCAAUAGUGCCCUUAAUUAAAUAUUAAAUCAAUUGACGAUUUAACUAUCUUGUAUAAAAGUAUAAGGGGAUUAUGUGGAUAAAUGUAAAAACACAAGAGGUAAAGUGAAUAUUUAUACAAAUUAUAAGGGAGUUACAUGAAGAUUAAAAUUUAAUCACACGUGCUUUUAGAAUGCAUUUGGUAUAAAAGCUGUAAUUGAUUGUAUAUUUCGUCUAUUUUAUACUUUACAUAAAACCAUAGGGGGUUAUGUAACUAUUUUGAAACACAUGUCAAAUCACAGGCGGAUUAUAAGUAAUUUAUCCAUUUUACCCAUUAAUCUUCUAUCUCUUCUAGUAGCAGCUAAGUUGCCAUUAGAAUAAGAGUAAAUGGCCAAGAUAAUCACCAAAGUAUUUAAAAUGGCACGGUCUGGUCAUAAAACUCUUUUUUUAGCCAAGAAGGUCACUCAACUAUUUAAAAUAGGACUAUUGGGUCAUGUUGGCUAAUUUAACAGCUAAACUAAUCGAAAAGAAGCAUAUUUGACCUGCUAUUUUAAGGUAUUAGGGGAAAAACGUCCUAAAUUACAGGUCAUUUUCGAUUGAUUUAGCAAAGAAUGACCUGAAAUGUCUAUUUUAAAGAGUCAAGUGACCUUUUUAGCAAAAAAAUAAAAAAUUAAUGACCAAAUUGUACCAUUUUAGAUAGAUUAAUGAUCAUUCUGGCCAUUUACUCUUAAAAUAAUAAAGUGGUUGACAAAUUGUCCAUUUUGAUUGAGGUAUAUACCCGCUCGUGGAGCCACAACAACUCAAUCUUUUAGAAUUUUUAAAAUAGCCUACAAAAAGUUUAACCUUUCUAUUAUUGCCCCAUUUUUCCCUCAGCACCCCUCCCCCCCAACAAAACCCGGGCGCAGAAAUUUGAUAAUAUUCCCUUUAACCCCACAAUUGUCCCUCAAAAGUUGUAAAAUAUUUUAUGGUUACCACCAUCAUUUCUACAAUGCAAUAUUAAAAUAAAAAUAUAUUGUAUGAUAUUAUUUUUAUUUUCUUUCUAACAAAUUUUAUUCACUUAACAUUAAACUUUUCUUAAUCGUACGAAUUACAAGUUAACCAAACAUUCAUUUAAAACUUUUUGAUCUAUUGGAGAUUGGGAUUCGGCCCUAGAUCCAAUUCUACUCACUCCUGGAUUCGAGGCCAGAUGUUUUAUAACAGUUAGAUUAUUCUGAAGUACUUUAGCACCUUUUGAUGUUUAAAAGUGAUUCAUUACUAGUUUUUUGGUGUUUAAAACGUAUGAGAUUGAACAAGUCUCUUAACAUCAAUACUAACUUUGAGAACUUGAUAUAUGCUAUCAAAACUCUCCCUCUUCUUGUUGUAUUUUAGAAGUAAUUUGCUGUAUUCCUAUAGCAAAUACUUAGUAUAGUAAGGUCAAAUAAUACCUGAAGGAUAACAUCAUUCUUCUUUUGUUUUGUGAAAUUUGGUACUGCAAAUUUUUGCACUUUUACACUUUGUGUACAUCUAACACAAGUAUCAUUUUAAAACACUGUAUAAUAUGAGUGGAAUAGAUACCCAAGACCCUGUGCUUGUUGCUGGAAGAAUGGUGAAGCCAUAGGAGGAGAAGCACUGCUAUAUUGGCUUUUUAUUUAAUCCAGGAUUACUUUUAAAUGUGUACAGUACCAAAGUGUGCUUUAUAACACGUUUAUACCAACAAUAGAGUAUAUAGUCUAGUUGUUUUCUAAUGCGUUUGUGAUGAUAAGAUUCUAUCUGUGAUGUAGCAAAAACAAGAGAAUAUUUUGAAGUCGUCUAGCAAUUAAAAAAACUCAAUUUCAUACCCCAUUUUCAAUUUCGUACAAAUUUUGGGAUCUCUCAAAGUAUCCUCAAGGUUAGUUUUGCCUCUUCCUUUCGCUUAAGAAUUAACAUAAUCAAAUGUGUCGUUUUUGAAUUGAAUAUAUCUAUUCAAUCACAUAAGACAUCACUUGGAUGGAAAGAUUGGAAUUGGUCCUUUUUCAAAAGCCUCAACAGCAAUGCUGGAGUUUUUGCUUCUUUAUCCUUCCCAUGCAGUCGAGUCAAACUGUGCUGGCUGCAAAUAAAAAACGCCACCAAUUUGCAUCAUACAUAUCUUGUUCAACUCAAUUUUCACACUUGUGAAUCACUAGCGAUAGAGCUCAAGAUAUAAAAAUUCAAAUGAUCAUAACUUGCAUGACAAAAUCAUUCGUGGACUAAGUUUUGUUGGAACGAAUCUAUUUUUUUUUUUAAGUUUUUUUUUUUUUUUUGUGUAGGGGAGGGAUGAAAUCGAAGAAGUGGGGUGGAGGUUAAAGGGCGAUUUGAACCCUAGAACGUCUAAUUCAUGCUUACGGAAAAAAGAACAUAAUCCUUUGUGUAAAACUUAGAGCAUAUGUCCCUUUUCUUCUAUGAAGAGUGACUUCAUUGACAGGUAGAAUUAAUGAUUUUUAAACGAUUCAAGAAAAAGUGUUUAACAUUUAGCUUCUAAUUAUAAGUGGUAAUUGAGGACAGUUAAUUAACUUUAUAGUCUCAUAAAUCUCGGCCGGAUCUCGAGGAAGCAUAUGCAAAAGACUUCUGUUUCCCCAUAAUUAGAUGUCUAAACCAAAAUUUUGAGGAACUUAAGCACAUGAUCCAGCUAAGUAAUUGGAGAGAAUAGAAUCAAUGCAGAUCUGGCCCUCCAAUAGAUUGAGGGCUACGUGCAUUGCUUUACUUUAGCAAAUAACUCGUAUCAAGAUUAAUUAAUAAUUACCUCUUCCUCCUACUCAAGAUGAUCAAAGGGUUCUUUUUCGAAUUAAAUAUAUAUUGAAUAAUUAGUCCCUAAGAUCCAACUUCACUGAUAAAGACAUUAAUCAGACGAUGAUUAAGUCUUCGGUUUAAUUUGACUCUCAAAUUCUCCUCUUUUUUCAUUUAUUCUUAUAAGACUUGCAGUUGCAGUCUCCCUUUCAUCCGAAAAACAACGCGGAAUAGCUAAAAGUUUAAAAAAUUCAAAAUCAAUAAAGUUUGAAAUAAAUAGCACAAUUUUUAAUAUAUAUAUUCCACAUUAAUUAAACUUGUUUAUAUAAAAUACAAGAUCAUGGCCCCUAUAAAUGAAUCUUGUAAAUAAAUUAUAAUCUCUCAUAUUUGUAAUGCAAUUUGUUCAAUAAAAUUACUUAUUUAGUUUUAAUUUAUUAUUUUAUAAUGUGUGUAUAAAAAUAAAAAUAAAUAAAUAAAUAUAUAUAUGUGGGACGGAUCGGGUACCCACGGAUUUUUAAUUAUAUGACCCUAUCCCGCCUUGCAUUUUAGCGGGUACCUGACCUUUUUUGGCCCGAUCAAAUAAUAAAAAUCAGAUAUCCUAAUUUUCGGAUCGGAUCGGAUAUGACGGAUUUUUGGGUUAACUGAUAAUUUUGCCCACCCCUAAUCAAGAGCAAGGCUGGUGUUUUUUAUUUAGUUUUGCAAUGCAUUCGAGUCAAAUUGUGCUUGCUGCAAACUAAUUAAUUACCAACGUGUAUUACCACAUCCUGCUUAGUUUUCCCACGUGAAAAUCACCAUCAAUAAUUCUCGAGUGCUUAAAUUUAUAGGAUCAUUGACUUGCACGGCAAAAUGAUUGGUGGCCUGUGUUUUGUAGGGACCGAUCUAACUAUUGGGAUAUUUGACUUUAGCCAUCUAACUUUUAUCCAGACCUCGUUUGUUGCUUUAUGUAUAGAAACUGAAGCCUCCUCUAUACUUCUCCUACACCACCUUGAAAGCGUUAUUAAAAAAUGGGAAACCGUCUCCCAACCACCUCUUCCUCAGAAAAACAAAGCAAAUCCUUGCCCAUUGACACCAUCUUCAAGUUCCCCUCUUCAAUGCCCAAAUGGCCAUCAGGUUCUAAUCAAUUCAUCUUCUUGUCUUCUUCCAUUUCUAGACAUUUCAAGAAUAAUUAAAAGCAUAUGUGCAUGGUCCACUAAGUUUCUAGUCUUCCUAGCUUAUAAUAGAAAUUUGACCAUGAAGCUACGAUAUAAUUGCUCAAUUGACUAUCUUCAUUUGGCCAAUUUGAUUUUGUUUCUCCUAGAUGUAGAUUUGUAUCCUUUUCAUUACUCGACUAAUGCAUUUGAGCUUGAAUGACAGGAGGUGGCUUUGCAAGUGAUUAUAUUGAUCUAGGUGGGCUCCAAGUGCACCAAACAUCAACCUUCAACAAAGUUUGGACCAUAUAUGGAGGAGGACCAGAUGAUCUUGGUGCAACAUUUUAUGAGCCAUCCCAAAUUCC
rnacentral:lncRNA from 1 species